AUUGAACGCUGGCGGCAUGCCUUACACAUGCAAGUCGAACGGUAACAGGUCUUCGGAUGCUGACGAGUGGCGAACGGGUGAGUAACACAUCGGAACGUGCCCGAGAGUGGGGGAUAACGAGGCGAAAGCUGUGCUAAUACCGCAUACGAUCUCAGGAUGAAAGCAGGGGACCGCAAGGCCUUGCGCUCACGGAGCGGCCGAUGGCAGAUUAGGUAGUUGGUGGGAUAAAAGCUUACCAAGCCGACGAACUGUAGCUGGUCCGAGAGGACGACCAGCCACACUGGGACUGAGACACGGCCCAGACUCCUACGGGAGGCAGCAGUGGGAAAUUUUGGACAAUGGGCGCAAGCCUGAUCCAGCCAUGCCGCGUGCAGGAUGAAGGCCUUCGGGUUGUAAACUGCUUUUGUACGGAACGAAAAGACUCUGGUUAAUACCUGGGGUCCAUGACGGUACCGUAAGAAUAAGCACCGGCUAACUACGUGCCAGCCGCCGCCGUAACAC
rnacentral:rRNA from 1 species